AGUAAACCUGGACAAGACCAGAGGUGGUAUUCCAGAAGAAAGCCAGAUCUCAGGGAGACAGGGAUGGCUGAGUGGUGACGUCAGGCCAGAAGCAGGAAUUGCAGAGACACAGAGACGGCUAACAUGAUCCGGAGCUGUCGCUUAAGGCCAGCACUUACCCGGACAACACUGCACCAUUGUACACGAUUAACUGUAUUUGCACCACGAGCACUAUAACACUCACUGUGGACUUGUGAUUGUGUUUGUGUUACAUGUGGGUAUUUAAAAUAUCGGGACUAUUAUUUCGGGACCAACCCAUGGAUUAAACGGAGCAAUACACAACGCUAUAUUGCCUGUUAUCACCAACUAUGCUACCCAGCUCCUGGUCCAGGCCCUGGUACUCUCCCGCCUAGACUACUGCAACUCCCUCCUGGCUGGCCUCCCUGCGUCCGCCACCCGUCCGCUCCAGCUCAUCCAGAACUCUGCUGCUCGCCUGGUGUUCUCUCUACCUCGCUUCGCCCACGCUACUCCACUACUCCGCUCGCUCCACUGGCUCCCGAUCACCGCUCGCAUCCAGUUCAAGACUCUUGUACUAGCCUACAGAUGCCUUGAUCAGACUGCACCCAGCUACCUCCAGACCCUCAUCUCUCCCUACACCCCCACUCGACCUCUCCGCUCCGCCUGCACUAGAAGACUGGCUCUACCUCCGCUACGCUCCCCUGCCUCCCGAGCCCGCUCCUUCUCCACCCUUGCUCCGCAGUGGUGGAACGACCUUCCUACAGAUGUCAGGACUGCCCAGUCCCUGACCACAUUCCGGCGCCUCCUUAAGACUCACCUCUUCAAACAGCACCUGUAGAACUCCUCUGUUGUAUCCUGGGACACUAUCACCCUUCAUUUAAAUAUGCUUUAUUUUGCUCUUAUCUGCCCCCUAUUUUACUGCAUUUAAUCCUGUACCUCAGAAUAUUGUAAUCUCCCAAGUGUUUAAUCUGUAGUAUUUUGUACUUAAUCAUAUCCUGAUGUAACUAUCACUACUUAAUCAUAUCCUGAUGUAACUUUCACUAUUAUCUGCUGUAUUAUUGAAUUGUGGUUUGUCACACUUGAGAAUUAUUGUAUUUCUUGUUCUUAUUGUAUGACUUAUAUUGUAACACUUGAAUGUAUUUGUAUUUGCUUGCGAUUGUAAGUCGCCCUGGAUAAGGGCGUCUGCUAAGAAAUAAAUAAUAAUAAUAAUAAUAUCAUUAUUGUUUAACUAUUUUGUCAUCAGACGUUGGAUCAUUAAAAUAAAACACCAU